rfam:Erinaceus europaeus unplaced genomic scaffold scaffold00624, whole genome shotgun sequence
AUCCAUUUGUAGUUUAUAAGCGUGAUGAUUGGGUUGCCACGCAACUGCAUGAGAUGUUUCACCCACAAACCUUGUUAACGACAUCGGCACAUUACCCCUCUGACA